CUGUUACAGUCGCUUGUUCAAGUCGGUGUCGCGUAAGAAUUUCAAUCUUUCGCCUUUUACUAAAGAUUGCCGUGGGGGAGGACACUCUAAUGAGCCUAUAGGCCAAUUUUUGGGAGGCCUUGCCC